GGCCGACUGGUGUAGUGGUUAUCACGUCUGCUUUACAUGCGUCUUCAACACGCUCAUAUCGCAGCAGGUCGCCGGUUCGAUCCCGGCGUUGGUCA